rnacentral:sRNA from 1 species
UGGGAUAUUGAUGGUCGCAUCAUGGAAGGAUUGACAAUCCAAAUAGAGUUCUCUCGGACCCUUAACGUCCAAGUUGGCAAGGUUGUUGACCUCCAAAAUGUUUUCCCCAGGCUCCUGGUACAUAUAUGCUUAAUGGUCCUGAUCUUCAGGGGUACUAUAUAAAUUCACGAACCCUCAGCAGCCCCUAAGACAGCAGUAACUUGCUCAUCGGUGACGUACGGCCCCCAUCUAGAAAUCGGAGGCGGGCACGGGAUCAUUAUUUCCUAGAUUGCGGACAAUUUUUGGUUGACACUUAUUGUUAGCUUGAAUAUUCGCACGGCUUCGGCUUGCUCCUAGUCCUGGGUCGCCGUCAUAUCAUCCCGUUGGCAUCAUAAUUUUCAACGACACUGGCAGCACUACUCUAACAGUAUUGACACGGAUCUGAUUGCAUUAGACGUCUGUGCAGAUUAUUAGCGAUGAUAUAUCUACCAAUGAUAUAUCGAUGUGGAUAUGGCCCGCUGGUUUCAAGAGCCACCGUAAGUGGAAUCAUCUAGCGACGUCGGAUCACACUUAAAAUACAAUUUGUUAACUCUUCAAUGGCUUCCUUGUCUGGUGAAUUCUUUUAUGAUUUCUCCCGAAAUUGAGACUGAACAUACUGUACACUGUAUAUUAUAUAAUUUACCCUUUUCUCUCUGAAUUCUUAAUACCGUAGUUUGCAGCGUUUUAUGCAUGAAUAUACCUCUCUACCACCUCUUUUCUUCUUCUUUUCUUUUCCUUUUUUUACGGCUACCACAAGCUGCGUUCUCCUGUAUUGUCCCACGCUGUAGCCUGACGACAGUAUACCGAACCCUGCAGAACCUGGACAUAUCGGUUGUUCAGCCCUUUGGUAUUUAGAGCUCAUGCAGCAGCGUUGAAGAUAAUAGUAAUUAACCCAGAGCCUUUUCGGUGCCUUUAUAGUUCUCUAGUUAUUAGCUACAUAUGCUGGGGUCCCGGACAGGUGCAUUAGCAUAGACGAAACGAUGCAAAAGUGAGUGCGUCAGGUUCAACAUCAAUGCUCAGUGUCCGAGCAAAACCCGAGGCUUAUUCCACAGAGGCGGUCUGGAUGAGUGAGGUGGUGGGAGGUGCAACGGGGCCACUGGAUGGAACAGGCCAAGCAUGGUCAGGGAUGUAAGUUGAAUUUUGCGUGUCAAGCAAACAUAAUGAUGUCCGGGCUGCGCUAGGAACAUGUUUCUGACUAGUGGGGAGGUAUUUUGUCUGAGAUUAUUUCGGGAGCAAGGACAUUUUAAAAUUUGUAACA